rnacentral:rRNA from 1 species
GUUGAACGCUGGCGGCAGGCUUAACACAUGCAAGUCGAGCGGGGUGAUGGUGCUUGCACUAUCACUUAGCGGCGGACGGGUGAGUAAUGCUUAGGAAUCUGCCUAUUAGUGGGGGACAACAUCUCGAAAGGGAAGCUAAUACCGCAUACGUCCUACGGGAGAAAGCAGGGGAUCUUCGGACCUUGCGCUAAUAGAUGAGCCUAAGUCGGAUUAGCUAGUUGGUGGGGUAAAGGCCUACCAAGGCGACGAUCUGUAGCGGGUCUGAGAGGAUGAUCCGCCACACUGGGACUGAGACACGGCCCAGACUCCUACGGGAGGCAGCAGUGGGGAAUAUCGGACAAUGGGGGGAACCCUGAUCCAGCCAUGCCACGUGUGUGAAGAAGGCCUUAUGGUUGUAAAGCACUUUAAGCGAGGAGGAGGCUACUCUAGUUAAUACCUAGGGAUAGUGGACGUUACUCGCAGAAUAAGCACCGGCUAACUCUGUGCCAGCCGCCGCCGUAA